UACGUAGGGUGCGAGCGUUAAUCGGAAUUACUGGGCGUAAAGCGUGCGCAGGCGGCUUUGCAAGACAGAGGUGAAAUCCCCGGGCUCAACCUGGGAACUGCCUUUGUGACUGCAGGGCUAGAGUACGGCAGAGGGGGAUGGAAUUCCGCGUGUAGCAGUGAAAUGCGUAGAUAUGCGGAGGAACACCGAUGGCGAAGGCAAUCCCCUGGGCCUGUACUGACGCUCAUGCACGAAAGCGUGGGGAGCAAACAGG
rnacentral:rRNA from 1 species